CCUGGCGGCUGUAGCGCGGUGGUCCCACCUGACCCCAUGCCGAACUCAGAAGUGAAACGCCGUAGCGCCGAUGGUAGUGUGGGGUUUCCCCAUGCGAGAGUAGGGAACUGCCAGGC
rnacentral:rRNA from 2 species